UUCUUUUUUUUUGGGUCAACCACAAUAUUUAUUAAUUAUAGGUAGCACUAAUUUUUUUUAGUGCUUAAAAAAAAACACAUCUUUUAUGUUACCUUUAAUACCAUGCUUUUAUAUUCACAGAAAUGACAUCACAAUGUUAAGACCAUUACUUUAAAUUUUUUGUUUUUUUUCUUAAACUUAAAAUGUAACUAUAUGAAAAACAUAGACUACUGAUGCAAUAUCGGAGAAGGCAAAGUUCCAGUAGCGCCAUCACUCAUCUGAUGGAAACAUUGCAUGUGCCAGUCUUAUGUCACUCAUUCGCUUUGUGCUUCUCAGUGUGACUUCUAUGACAAGAUAAUAGAGAAAAAGAGUUGAGUUUAGAAGUAGCUACCUGCAGCUGAUCCGGAUCAGUGCUAAUUAAAAACGAAUCAGCACC